rnacentral:rRNA from 1 species
CAGCCGCCACGGGAAUACGGAGGGUGCAAGCGUUAUCCGGAUUUAUUGGGUUUAAAGGGUCCGUAGGCGGAUCUGUAAGUCAGUGGUGAAAUCUCACAGCUUAACUGUGAAACUGCCAUUGAUACUGCAGGUCUUGAGUAAAUUUGAAGUGGCUGGAAUAAGUAGUGUAGCGGUGAAAUGCAUAGAUAUUACUUAGAACACCAAUUGCGAAGGCAGGUCACUAAGAUUUAACUGACGCUGAUGGACGAAAGCGUGGGGAGCGAACAGGAUUAGAUACCCGGGUAGUCCCUGUCUCUUAUAC